rnacentral:rRNA from 1 species
AGUGAACGCUGGCGGUAGGCCUAACACAUGCAAGUCGAACGGCAGCACAGUAAGAGCUUGCUCUUACGGGUGGCGAGUGGCGGACGGGUGAGGAAUACAUCGGAAUCUACUUUUUCGUGGGGGAUAACGUAGGGAAACUUACGCUAAUACCGCAUACGACCUACGGGUGAAAGCAGGGGAUCUUCGGACCUUGCGCGAUUGAAUGAGCCGAUGUCGGAUUAGCUAGUUGGCGGGGUAAAGGCCCACCAAGGCGACGAUCCGUAGCUGGUCUGAGAGGAUGAUCAGCCACACUGGACUGAGACACGGUCCAGACUCCUACGGGAGGCAGCAGUGGGGAAUAUUGGACAAUGGGCGCAAGCCUGAUCCAGCCAUACCGCGUGGGUGAAGAAGGCCUUCGGAUUGUAAAGCCCUUUUGUUGGGAAAGAAAAGCAGCAGGUUAAUACCCCGCUGUUCUGACGGUACCCAAAGAAUAAGCACCGGCUAACUUCGUG